CGUAGGUAACCUGCCUUGUAGCGGGGGAUAACUAUUGGAAACGAUAGCUAAUACCGCAUAACAAUGGAUGACACAUGUCAUUUAUUUUGAAAGGGGCAAUUGCUCCACUACAAGAUGGACCUGCGUUGUAUUAGCUAGUAGGUGAGGUAACGGCUCACCUAGGCGACGAUACAUAGCCGACCUGAGAGGGUGAUCGGCCACACUGGGACUGAGACACGGCCCAGACUCCUACGGGAGGCAGCAUG
rnacentral:rRNA from 1 species